rnacentral:rRNA from 1 species
CAGUAGCCGCGGUAAAACGGAGGGUGCAAGCGUUAUCCGGAUUUAUUGGGUUUAAAGGGUCCGUAGGCGGAUCUGUAAGUCAGUGGUGAAAUCUCACAGCUUAACUGUGAAACUGCCAUUGAUACUGCAGGUCUUGAGUAAAUUUGAAGUGGCUGGAAUAAGUAGUGUAGCGGUGAAAUGCAUAGAUAUUACUUAGAACACCAAUUGCGAAGGCAGGUCACUAAGAUUUAACUGACGCUGAUGGACGAAAGCGUGGGGAGCGAACAGGAUUAGAUACCCCAGUAGUCCCUGUCUCUUAUAA